rnacentral:rRNA from 1 species
AGUGAACGCUGGCGGUAGGCCUAACACAUGCAAGUCGAACGGCAGCACAGGAGAGCUUGCUCUCUGGGUGGCGAGUGGCGGACGGGUGAGGAAUACAUCGGAAUCUACUCUGUCGUGGGGGAUAACGUAGGGAAACUUACGCUAAUACCGCAUACGACCUACGGGUGAAAGCAGGGGACCUUCGGGCCUUGCGCGAUUGAAUGAGCCGAUGUCGGAUUAGCUAGUUGGCGGGGUAAAGGCCCACCAAGGCGACGCUCCGUAGCUGGUCUGAGAGGAUGAACAGCCACACGGGAACUGAGACACGGUCCAGACGCCGACGGGAGGCAGCAGUGGGGAAUAUUGGACAAUGGGCGCAAGCCUGAUCCAGCCAUACCGCGUGGGUGAAGAAGGCCUUCGGGUUGUAAAGCCCUUUUGUUGGGAAAAAAAUCCAGCUGGCUAAUACCCGGUUGGGAUGACGGUACCCAAAGAAUAAGCACCGGCUAACUUCGUGCCAGCCGCCGCCGUAA